UCGGGUUGAGUAUGAGCAAGUACUCGGUUUUAUUCAUACGACCUAAUAGGUCGUAUGAAUAAAACCGAGUACUUGCUCAUACUCAACCCGA
rnacentral:pre_miRNA from 1 species